CCUACGGGAGGCAGCAGUGAGGAAUAUUGGUCAAUGGAGGAAAGUCUGAACCAGCCACGCCGCGUGCAGGAAGACGGCUCUAUGAGUUGUAAACUGCUUUUGUACGGGGGUAAACGAAGAUACGUGUAUCUGACUGCAAGUAUCACACGAAUAAGGAACGGCUAAUUCCGUGCCAGCAGCCGCGGUAAUACGGAGGGUCCGAGCGUUAUCCGGAUUUAUUGGGUUGAAAGGGUGCGUAGGCGGUCGGGGAAGUUAGAGGUGAAAUGCCGGGGCUCAACUUCGGAAUUGCCUCGGAUACUGUUGGGCUAGAGGGGAGGUGAGGUAGGCGGAAUGUAUGGUGUAGCGGUGAAAUGCUUAGAUAGCAGGCAGAACACCGAUUGCGAAGGCAGCGUACCGGACUGCUACUGACGUUGAGGCUCGAAAGCGUGGGGAGCAAACAGGAUUAGAUACCCGAGUAGUC
rnacentral:rRNA from 1 species